rnacentral:rRNA from 1 species
GUACGGGGGGGGCAAGCGUUGUUCGGAAUUACUGGGCGUAAAGGGCGUCGUAGGCGGCCAACUAAGUCGAACGUGAAAUCCCUCAGCUUAACUGGGGAACUGCGUCCGAUACUGAUUGGCUUGAAUCCGGAAGAGGGAUGGCGGAAUUCCGAGGUGAUAGCGGUGAAAUGACGUAGAUAUCUGGAAGGAAUACCGGUGGCGAAGGCGGCAUCCUGGACCGGCAUUGACGGCUGAGGAGCGAAAAGCCAGGGGAGCAAGCGGG